GCUAGCUCAAUCAGACGGUAGAGCAUGAGACUCUUAAUCUCAGAGUUGUGGGUUCAUGCCCCAUGCA
rnacentral:tRNA from 1 species